AUUGAACGCUGGCGGCAGGCCUAACACAUGCAAGUCGAGCGAGCGGCGGACGGGUGAGUAAUGUAUGGGGACUGCCCGGUAGAGGGGGAUAACUACUGGAAACGGUGGCUACUACCGAAUACUAUCGGAUAACCCAGAUGGGAUUAGCUAGUAGGUGGGGUAAAGGCUCACAUAGGCGACGAUCUCUAGCUGGUCUGAGAGGAUGAUCAGCAACACUGAGACGGAGACACGGCCUAGACUCCUACGGAGGCAGCAGUGGGGAAUAUUGCACAAUGGGUGAAAGCCUGAUGCAGCGACGCCGCGUGGGGGAUGAAGGCUUUCGGGUUGUAAACCUCUUUCGCGAUCGAACGGGUAGGUGGAGAAGAAGCGCCGGCUAACUACGUGCCAGCAGCCGCGGUAAUAC
rnacentral:rRNA from 1 species